UUAUGGCUUCACUUAUAUAUUUUACUUUUCAGAGUUUCAGAAAAAAAUUUAUAUUCGAACUUGCUGAAAUGAAAAAAAUUUUAAUAGAUAGAACUGCACUGUUCUCCAAUUAUCCUGAAGAAGGUUUCAAACAACGUAAAAGUUCAGAUAAGCUUCAUGUUUUGAAUAAAAAAUUCGCAAAUGGAGAUAUCCAAUACAUCACUUUUGUAAAACAGUUGUGUUAAUUGGCGGUAAAAAUCUAACUGAUACAAUUAAAAAUAUUUCGCUCUUACUGUCAACAGACACUAUUUUGUCAGAAUACAGCAUG